AUACUUACCUGGCAGGGGAGAUACCAUGAUCACGAAGGUGGCUUUCCCAGGGCGAGGCUUAUCCAUUGCACUCUGGAUGUGCUGACCCCUGCGAUUUCCCCAAAUGUGGGAAACUCAACUGCAUAGUUUGUGGUAGUGGGGGACUGCGUUCACGCUCUCCCCUG
ensembl:snRNA U1 U1 spliceosomal RNA